CCUCAUAGAUCUAGCAGGAUCUCCCGACCUCCAAAAAGAUACAUGGGUAUGCUUAUGGAGAAAGUAAAGAAAAUAUUUCUUAUGGGAGAUAAGAAUCAUGGUAAUAAUCUUAAUACUUUUGACAAGGCGAUAUCUGACAUUAAUUUCGAGAAAUGGAUAGAUGUAAUGAAGUCAGAGAUUAACUUGAUGCACUCAAACCAAGUAUGGAUCUUAGUGGAUCCAUCUGAGGG
rnacentral:lncRNA from 1 species